GGGGCAACCCUGAUCCAGCAUGCCGCGUGUGUGAAGAAGGCCUUCGGGUUGUAAAGCACUUUAGUUGGGGAAGAAGAUAUUUUGUUUAAGAGAUGGGAUAUUUGACGGUACCCAAAGAAUAAGCACCGGCUAACUCUGUGCCAGCAGACGCGGUAAUAC
rnacentral:rRNA from 1 species